rnacentral:misc_RNA from 1 species
GGAGAGCUCAGAGAUUGAGAAAUUUCGUGCAGAUGAACUGGAGCAGGCUGGCAUUGACGCUGCUCAUAAGAAGGAAGAGGAGUGGCAGAAAGAGCUUGAGAAUGUCCAAAACCAGCAUGCUGAGGACCUUGCAACACUACUCUCCUCCACUCAAGAGCUCCAAAGAGUAAAGCACGAACUCACGAUGACCGUCGAUGCAAAGAAUACUGCUCUGAGCCAUGCUGAUGAUGCAAUGAAGAUUGCUGAGAUCAAUGCAGAGAAGGUGAUGGUCCUGUCCGCUGAAGUUAACCGCCUGAAAGCUAUGCUCGAUACUAAGGUGGAGAAUAUGAGUACUGAAACUGCCGAACUGGUGAAGAAAUUGGACUGUGAGGUUGGUGCUUUGAAGUCUGAACUCGAAAGUGCAAAGGCUGCUGAGGAGAAAUUGCUCAAGAUGGAAGCAUCGGUUGAAGGGUUAAAGAAUGAGGUUACUGAUGCAAAGAGGGCUGAGACUGAUGCUGGUAAGCUAGUCGAUAAGUGGAAGACGAAGGCGGAGUUGUUGGAAGUUCAGC